rnacentral:rRNA from 1 species
AGAGUUUGAUCAUGGCUCAGAUUGAACGCUGGCGGCAGGCCUAACACAUGCAAGUCGAACGGUAACAUUUCUAGCUUGCUAGAAGAUGACGAGUGGCGGACGGGUGAGUAAUGCUUGGGAACUUGCCUUUGCGAGGGGGAUAACAGUUGGAAACGACUGCUAAUACCGCAUAAUGUCUUCGGACCAAACGGGGCUUCGGCUCCGGCGCAAAGAGAGGCCCAAGUGAGAUUAGCUAGUUGGUAAGGUAACGGCUUACCAAGGCGACGAUCUCUAGCUGUUCUGAGAGGAAGAUCAGCCACACUGGGACUGAGACACGGCCCAGACUCCUACGGGAGGCAGCAGUGGGGAAUAUUGCACAAUGGGGGAAACCCUGAUGCAGCCAUGCCGCGUGUGUGAAGAAGGCCUUCGGGUUGUAAAGCACUUUCAGUUGUGAGGAAAAGUUAGUAGUUAAUACCUGCUAGCCGUGACGUUAACAACAGAAGAAGCACCGGCUAACUCCGUGCCAGCAGCCGCGGUAAUACGGAGGGUGCGAGCGUUAAUCGGAAUUACUGGGCGUAAAGCGCACGCAGGCGGUUUGUUAAGCUAGAUGUGAAAGCCCCGGGCUCAACCUGGGAUGGUCAUUUAGAACUGGCAGACUAGAGUCUUGGAGAGGGGAGUGGAAUUCCAGGUGUAGCGGUGAAAUGCGUAGAUAUCUGGAGGAACAUCAGUGGCGAAGGCGACUCCCUGGCCAAAGACUGACGCUCAUGUGCGAAAGUGUGGGUAGCGAACAGGAUUAGAUACCCUGGUAGUCCACACCGUAAACGCUGUCUACUAGCUGUGUGUGUCUUUAAGACGUGCGUAGCGAAGCUAACGCGCUAAGUAGACCGCCUGGGGAGUACGGCCGCAAGGUUAAAACUCAAAUGAAUUGACGGGGGCCCGCACAAGCGGUGGAGCAUGUGGUUUAAUUCGAUGCAACGCGAAGAACCUUACCUACACUUGACAU